rnacentral:rRNA from 1 species
GUGAGGAAUAUUGCGCAAUGGGCGAAAGCCUGACGCAGCGACGCCGCGUGGAGGAUGAAGGUCUUCGGAUUGUAAACUCCUGUCGUCCGGGACGAAUGCCGGAGAGGUUAACAGCCUCUCCGGUUGACGGUACCGGAGGAGGAAGCCCCGGCUAACUCCGUGCCAGCAGCCGCGGUAAUACGGAGGGGGCCAGCGUUGUUCGGAAUCAUUGGGCGUAAAGGGCGCGUAGGCGGCUGGUCAAGUCGGACGUGAAAUCCCUCGGCUCAACCGAGGAACUGCGUCCGAUACUGUCCGGCUUGAGUCCCGGAGAGGGUAGUGGAAUUCCCGGUGUAGCGGUGAAAUGCGUAGAUACUGGGAGGAACACCAGUGGCGAAGGCGGCUACCUGGACGGGUACUGACGCUGAGGCGCGAAAGCUAGGGGAGCAAACAGGAUUAGAUACCCUUGUAGUCC